UGUUUCUUCUCAGACAUAGUCUGUUCUAUCAGUAAUUCCAAAAGGAAGGAGGUUAUAACAAGGCAUGUCUGACCCCAUUGUCCCAUCAUGGCCUGAAUU